rnacentral:rRNA from 1 species
CAAUAGCGUAUAUUUAAGUUGCUGCAGUUAAAAAGCUCGUAGUUGGAUUUCGGGUGGGAAUGGCCGGUCCGCCGUUUCGGUGUGCACUUGCUACGCCCACCUUGCUGCCGGGGACGUGCUCUUGAGUUCACGCUCGGGACACGGAGUCGGCGAGGUUACUUUGAGUAAAUUAGAGUGUUCAAAGCAGGCCUACGCUCUGAAUACAUCAGCACGGAAUAACACGAUAGGACUCUGGCCUAUCUUGUUGGUCUGUAGGACCGGAGUAAUGAUUAAGAGGGACAGUCGGGGGCAUUCGUAUUUCAUUGUCAGAGGUGAAAUUCUUGGAUUUAUGAAAGACGAACUACUGCGAAAGCAUUUGCCAAGGAUGUUUUCAUUAA